UGUUAGUUAUAAUGCCUUGUUUUGUAAGAGUCGGUAAUGGAGUCUCGGUGGCCGCUGGCCCCUAACGGGCAGACUGUGCUACCGCCUCGUACUGCAUCGUAGAUGAUGAAAAUACGGCACAUAUAGCGAUGAUCACACCCGUGUGUUACAGCCCUGCUGUUCCGCCCACUCUCACACAGAUCCUCCGGCAACAGCAAAUUGGGCUAUUGAAGAACUCAAUAUACCUCCCAGCAUCUAGGAGUUUGAAGUAGGAAUCGAGCGACAUCGUUAAUACAUCUGCCCCAGAGAUUGCUGAAAGAGCACAGGAUUGAACUUGACUGCAUGGACACACUUGGGGCACUUCAAUUAUACGCAAUGCUUGCCAACUGUGCACUGUGGAUAAUUACCACAGAACGACAUGACUCUUUUUACUGUGUGGGUGCAAGCACCAAGCACCAUGGACGGUCCAAGCAUAUUGCUAUUAGACAUCUCUACUUCCGUGAGCUAGUGGAGAGAAAGUCUGUAAG